rnacentral:rRNA from 1 species
GACGAACGCUGGCGGCGUGGAUUAGGCAUGCAAGUCGAACGGUAUCAUCCUUUCGGGGGUGAGAGAGUGGCGAACUGGUGAGUAACACGUAGGUUAUCUACCCUCAAGACGGGGACAACCCAGGGAAACUUGGGCUAAUACCGGAUGUGAGCAACUUUUAGUUGUUUGAAAGGCGGCGUAAGCUGUCGCUUGGGGAUGAGCCUGCGUCCUAUUAGUUAGUUGGUGAGGUAACGGCUCACCUAGGCAAUGAUAGGUAGGCGGCCUUAACGGGUGGUCGCCCACACUGGGAUUGAGAUACGGCCCAGACUCCUACGGGAGGCAGCAGUCGAGAAUAGUCUACAAUGGUCAGAAGACUGAUAGUGCGACGCCGCGUGAACGAUGAAUCCCUUCGGGGUGUAAAGUUCUUUUAUAUGUGAGCAGUGCUUCUUAUAUUAACAGUAUGGGGAGAGAGAUAUUAGCAUAUGAAUAAGCAACGGCUAACUCCGUGCCAGCAGCCGCGGUAAAA